rfam:Brachypodium distachyon strain Bd21 chromosome 1, whole genome shotgun sequence.
AAAGUACUCACUCUGUUUCAUAAUUCUUGUCGAAAUAUUACAUGUAUCUAAACGUUUUUUAUGAAUAGAUACAUUCAUUUUUAGGCAAAUUUGAGACAAGAAUUAUGAAACGGAGAAAGUAUCAC